UACGAGGGGUCCAAGCGUUGUUCGGAAUCACUGGGCGUAAAGCGGGUGUAGGUGGCUAAGCAAGUUGGAUGUGAAAGCCCCGGGCUCAACCCGGGAAGUGCAUCCAAAACUACUUAGCUUGAGUAAGGAAGAGGAUAGGAGAAUUCUUGGUGUAGUGGUGAAAUACGUAGAUAUCAAGAGGAACACCGGUGGCGAAGGCGCCUAUCUGGUCCAUUACUGACACUCAGACCCGAAAGCGUGGGUAGCAAACAGG
rnacentral:rRNA from 1 species